AUUGAACGCUGGCGGCAUGCCUUACACAUGCAAGUCGAACGGUAACAGGUCUUCGGAUGCUGACGAGUGGCGAACGGGUGAGUAAUACAUCGGAACGUGCCCGAUCGUGGGGGAUAACGAAGCGAAAGCUUUGCUAAUACCGCAUAAGAUCUACGGAUGAAAGCAGGGGACCGCAAGGCCUUGCGCGAACGGAGCGGCCGAUGGCAGAUUAGGUAGUUGGGGGGAUAAAAGCUUACCAAGCCGACGAUCUGUAGCUGGUCUGAGAGGACGACCAGCCACACUGGGACUGAGACACGGCCCAGACUCCUACGGGAGGCAGCAGUGGGGAAUUUUGGACAAUGGGCGAAAGCCUGAUCCAGCCAUGCCGCGUGCAGGAUGAAGGCCUUCGGGUUGUAGACUGCUUUUGUACGGAACGAAACGGUCCUGGUUAAUACCUGGGGCUAAUGACGGUACCGUAAGAAUAAGCACCGGCUAACUACGUGCCAGCCGCCGCAGUAACAC
rnacentral:rRNA from 1 species